rnacentral:rRNA from 1 species
UACGUAGGGUCCAAGCGUUGUCCGGAUUUAUUGGGCGUAAAGAGCUCGUAGGCGGCUCAGUAAGUCGGAUGUGAAAACUCGGGGCUCAACCCCGAGACGCCAUCCGAUACUGCUGUGGCUUGAGUCUGGUAGGGGAACACGGAAUUCCUGGUGUAGCGGUGAAAUGCGCAGAUAUCAGGAGGAACACCGAUGGCGAAGGCAGGUCUCUGGGCCACUACUGACGCUGAGAAGCGAAAGCAUGGGGAGCGAACAGG